CCUACGGGUGGCAGCAGUGGGGAAUCUUGCGCAAUGCACGAAAGUGUGACGCAGCAACGCCGCGUGGGGGAAGAAGGUCUUCGGAUUGUAAACCCCUUUCAGUUGGGACGAGGGUUGCACGGUGAAUAGCCGGCGUAACUGACGGUACCUUCAGAAGAAGCCCCGGCUAACUACGUGCCAGCAGCCGCGGUAAUACGUAGGGGGCAAGCGUUAUCCGGAAUCAUUGGGCGUAAAGCGCGUGUAGGCGGUUAAGUAAGUCCGCUCUGAAAGCCCAG
rnacentral:rRNA from 1 species